AUAGUGAAUGGAAAAAGUAAAUUGAACACUGCAAUAGAUAAAUAUCCAAACACAAUUAAAGCCAUUAAAAUGCAACACUAAAUUAAGUGGAUGAAAAACAACUCAACCUACUAAUUAAACUAAGUGAAAACAAGAGAAACUAACAAGCCUAUUUAACUUCUAGUAAUUUAUGUGAACCAAAGUGCAAUUGACAAAUAAAUUAAAAAGUCCAAUUGGCCAAAGAAAAACC
rnacentral:lncRNA from 1 species